UACGAAGGGGGCUAGCGUUGCUCGGAAUCACUGGGCGUAAAGCGCACGUAGGCGGAUCUUUAAGUCAGGGGUGAAAUCCUGGAGCUCAACUCCAGAACUGCCUUUGAUACUGGCAACCUAGAGACUGGAAGAGGUUAGUGGAAUUCCCAGUGUAGAGGUGAAAUUCGUAGAUAUUGGGAAGAACACCAGUGGCGAAGGCGGCUAACUGGUCCAGCACUGACGCUGAGGUGCGAAAGCGUGGGGAGCAAACAGG
rnacentral:rRNA from 1 species